UAUGACAUAAUUCCACACAGAACAGAUGUAUAAGCACAAGCUGGUGGACUUUGUUAUCCAUUUCAUGGAGGAGAUCGACAAGGAGAUCAGCGAGAUGAAGCUGUCAGUCAACGCUCGAGCCCGAAUUGUCGCAGAGGAAUUCCUCAAGAAUUUCUGAGGAUCCUUGUCUACAUUCCUAAUACCCAUCAGAGAUUGGUGUUGCUUUGGUUCUUGCGGACAAAAACAUUCAAAGUUUUUAAAAUCUCAACAGAGCAAAGGGAAAAGAGUUUAUAAGUUAGCAACCAAGCAAGACGCUCUACAGAAACAACUGGCCAGUCCUGCAGCACUAUAUGCACUCCCCUUUGCCUUCUGUUCAAGGUGCUCCUUGUGCCCAUGGAUAUUAACAAUUGUACAUUUAGUCAAGAAUUUAUAACUUUUGUUUUCUGUUUGUUAGGGAAAAAAGAAAACACAGUCAAGGCAGGUCCUUAAAAGUAUUACCUGUAGUUAAUAUUGAUGGGCAUAGGAAUCUUGUUGUUGGAGUUUUUUUUUUUUUUUUUUUUUUUCCCUGUUGUCUUUUAUACACAUGUAGUCACAUGCUUUCAUUUUUGUUACAAUGCGGGGAAAAGGAAUCAAUUCAAUGUUAAAGAGAUCAUGAGAGAGAAAAAAAAAAGAAAAUGGGUGUUUAUAUUUUGGCACUGUCAAUCUCCAAUAUUAUAACUACACAAAAACCUGUGUAAAACAAAUUCAAUAAAAAUAUAUUGUGCUUUCUUUA